AUGCGUGGAUCUAGCCUUUGUUCUUCUGCGGUCGUGUAUCUAUAUAGGUUAUACCCUAGCUUGUACAGGAUUGUCAGACAUAAAUUUGUUACAAUCAAACAAGUUCUGGGCCAAGUAAACCCUGAUAUUUCUUUUCGUAGGGAUCUGCUAGGACCUCGUUUGGCAGCAUGGAAUGAAUUACUCAUCCGUUUGGAGGUGAUUCAGCUGUCGGAUGAAUCGGAUAUUUUUCGAUGGAAAUUGCAUCAGAAUGGCAAGUUUUCAGUCAAGUCCAUGUAUGAUGCUCUGGUUCAUAAUGAGGUUCCAGUUGAGAACAAAAAAUUGUGGAAGCUCAAAAUUCCCCUAAGAGUGAAGAUAUUCCUCUGGUUUCUUAAUAAAGGGAUCUUAACUAGGGAUAAUUUGGCACGGCGUAACUGGCAAGGGAGUAAAAAAUGUGUCUUCUGCCAACAUGACGAGUCUAUUACACACUUAUUUUUUGAGUGUAAGUUUGCUCGGUCUGUGUGGGCCGUUGUUCAAAUAACUUUAAAUCUUUACCCACCACGUAGUGCAUGGAACAUAUUCGGCAAUUGGUUGAGGGGAAUUGAUAAACAAUUUUCUGCAUACAUUCUAGUGGGGCGGCUGCCUUAUGUUGGGCAUUGUGGCUGA
rnacentral:rRNA from 1 species